rnacentral:rRNA from 1 species
UACAGAGGUGGCAAGCGUUGUUCGGAUUUACUGGGCGUAAAGGGUCCGUAGGCGGUUCGGUUAGUCAAAUGUGAAAGCCCACAGCUCAACUGUGGAACUGCAUUUGAAACUGCCGAGCUAGAGUGUGAGAGGGGUUAAGGGAAUUCCCGGUGUAGCGGUGAAAUGCGUAGAGAUCGGGAAGAACAUCGGUGGCGAAAGCGCUCUACUGGACCGCAACUGACACUCAGGGACGAAAGCUAGGGGAGCGAAUGGG